GUGAUUAUAGUUAAAUAGGUAUAACGCUUGUUUACCAAACAAAAGUUGUCAGUUCAAUUCUGAUUAAUCAUA
rnacentral:tRNA from 1 species